GCAGUUGUAGCUCAGAUGGCCUAGAGCGCCUGACUGUGGAUCAGGAGGUCAUGGGUUCGACCCCCAUCAACUGUA
rnacentral:tRNA from 1 species